rnacentral:lncRNA from 1 species
CUUCUUCUAUAUAAGCACCAGGCCUCCAACCCACUUCACUCAUCAGUUUCCGAACUCAACCCAGCUUCCAAGAGUAGUGAUUCUUGAGUUUAAUUCAACAGAAUGGCUGGCUCAGUAGCUGUCAAGGUCUCAUGCCUGGUGUUGAUGUGCAUGUUGGUGGCUUCGCCCAUGGCAGUAGAAGGGUUGUCGUGUGGUGACGUAGCAACCCAGUUGGCCCCGUGCAUCAACUACCUGAGAAGUGCUGGCCCAUUGCCUCCGGCGUGCUGCAAUGGUGUUAAGAACCUCAAAAACUCUGCCGCCACCACACAAGACCGCAGGACCGCUUGCAAGUGCUUGAUAAAUGCUUCUAAAUCCAUCUCUGGUGUGAACUUUGGUCUGGCUGCUGGCCUCCCUGGCAAAUGUGGUGUCAACAUUCCUUACAAGAUUAGCCCCUCCACCAACUGCGACCAGUAUCUACCCUCUCUCUCUAUUUCCUUCUCUCCUUAUCUCAUAAGGAAUUAACAUGAAAUUUUACAUAUUUUCUAACUCGUGGUGUUUGUUGUUGCAGAGUGAAUUGAGGUGACUGGAGGAGCGAGGAACCUGUUUAGCAGCAUGAAAAUAAAGCGGACGUUGAGUCCAGUGCUCGGGACUUCACUCCAGCAAGUGACCUGUAGUAUUUGUAGUAAUGUGUGUCCGUGUCCCAUUCUACUUGUUUGCCAUCUAUCUAUCUGCUUGAGUGAGUGAGCGAGUGAGUGCCUAUCCAUGUAAUAAUUAUCCUUACGGGAACCAUGCUGGUCUACUUUUUUCUAUACCACUACUACUCUCUCUCUCUCUCUCUCUCUCUCUCUCUGAACUAAGGGGUACCCUAUAAUUAUCCUUACGGGAACCAUGCUUGUCUACUUUUUUCUAUACUACUCCUCUCUCUCUCUCUCUCUCUCUCUCUGAACUAAGGGGUACCCUACAAUGAAAUGAAAAGGGUUCCACUGCUAGGUAAGCGGCACAUGGGUGGGUGAGACAUGUGAAGAGAAGGGCACACACUCAUGCCAAUUGAACAUUAAUGGCUGGGAGUUGGGGCAGACAAAUCAUAUUUUCACAUAGGGCCACUUUCUAAAAGGAAAAAACUGGAGCUCAGCCCCAUUCUUCCGUAAGUAAUUGAAGUUUAUGUUACUGUAACAAUGCCCAACCACAUAGAUGACCAAACCCCAAUCGUUUCAAAAUCUUAGGGUUGUUUGUUAGCAGAAAAUAGAUUUUUUUUCUUUUCUUUUCUUUUUCCCAUAACAGAAAAUCGAAGAUGGAAUGUGAGUAAAAAGAAGACAUUAUUUCAUUUCCAAAAAUGAACAUAUUUUUGAAAUAUGACUAAUUGUUAAACACUCCCUUGUGACUCAUGUAUUUUCUUGGCCGUUCCAUUAAUAGUACACUAAUUUAAAAAAAUUAUGCUUAAAUUAUUAUAGUAGAAGAAGUUAUUACAAAUAUAUGAUAGUUUUUGUCAUAUAGAAGAUAGGAAAGAGGAGAGAGGAGAGAGGGUGAACGGAUAAUUUUUUUUAAAACCAAAAUCAUCUUUUCAAAUUUCAAAAGAUGAAAUCGUCUCUUCAAGAUACGAGUUUUCAUGAAAAAAUAUAUAUAUAUAAUUUUUUUUAAAAAUUCCCAAAUUAAAAAAAAAAAAAAAAAAAAAUCCUCAAGGAACUCGUGAAAAGACGAGUUCCCAUGAAAAAAAAUAUUUUUUUUUAAAUUUCUAAAUUACUAAAAAUAAAAAUAAAAAUAAAAAAUAUCUCAAGGGAACUCGUCUCUUGAAAAGACAAGUUCCCAUGAAAAAAAUAUUUUUUUUUUUUAAAAUUGUCAAAUUAUAAAAAAAUAAAAAAUUCCUCAAGGAACUCGUUUCUUGAAGAGACGAGUUCCCAUGAAAAAAAAUAUAUAUAUAUAUAUUUUUAAAAAAAUUCUCAAAUUAAAAAAAAAAAAAAAAAACAAUUCCUCUAGGGAACUCGUCUCUUGAAGAGACGAGUUUCCAUGAAAAAAAUAUAUAUAUUUUUUAAAAAAAAUUCCUAAAUUAUAAAAAAAAUAAAAAUAAAUAAAAAUUCCUAAAGGGAACUCGUCUCUUGAAGAGACGAGUUCCCAUGAAAAAAAAUUCCUCAAGGGAAAUCGACUCUUUAAAAAAAAUAUAUUUUUUUUAUAUAUAUUUUUUUUUAAAAUUCCCAAAUUAUAUUUUAAAAAAAAAAAAACAAUUCCUCAAGAGACGAGUUCCCGAAAAAAAAAUUUUAACAAAAAUUCCCAAAUUAUAAAUAAAUAAAAAAUAAUUGGGGAAUUUUUUUCAUGGGAACUCGUCUCUUUCCCUUGAGGAAUUGUUUUUUUUUUUUUUUUAAUUUUUAAUUUGGGAAUUUUUUUAAAAAAAAAUAUAUUUUUUCAUGGGAACUCGUAUCUUGAAGAGACGAGUUCCCUUGAGGAAUUGGUUUUUUUUUUUUUUUAAUUUGGGAAUUUUUUUUUUUUUAAAUAUAUAUAUAUAUAUAUAUAUUUUCAUGGAACUCGUCUCUUUAAGAGACGAGUUCGCUUGAGGAAUUUUUUUUUUUUUUUUAAUUUGGGAAUUUUUUUAAAAAAUAUAUAUAUAUAUUUUUUCCAUGGGGAAAAGACGAGUUCCCUUGAGGAAUUGUUUUUUCUUUUUAAAUAAUUUGGGAAUUGUUUUAAAAAAAAAAUUAAUGGAACUCGUCUCUUCAAGAGACGAGUUCCCUUGAGUAUUUUUUUUUUCUUUUUUUUUUUUAAUUUGGAAAUUUUUUUUUUAAAUAAUUUUUUUUCUAUGGGAACUCAUCUCUUGAUUCCCUUGAGAAAUUGUUUUUUUUUUUUUUUUUUUUAAAAAUUGGGGAAUUUUUUAAAAAAAAUAAUAUAUAUAAUUUCAGGGAACUCGUCUCUUGGAAAAAACAAGUUCCCUUGGAGGAAUUUCCUUUUUUUUUUUUAAUUUGAAAAUUUUUUUUUUUAGGGGAAACUCCCUCUAUUGAAGAAAACGAAGUUCCCUUGGAGAAAAUUGGUUUUCUUUUUUUUUNNNNNNNNNNNNNNNNNNNNNNNNNNNNNNNNNNNNNNNNNNNNNNNNNNNNNNNNNNNNNNNNNNNNNNNNNNNNNNNNNNNNNNNNNNNNNNNNNNNNUUUUUUUUUUUUUUUAUUUGGGAAAUUUUUUUUUUUUAAAUAUAUAUAUAAAUAUAUAUAUUUUCAUGGAACUCGUCUCUUUAAGAGACGAGUUCCCUUGAGGAAUUUUUUUUUUUUUUUUAAUUUGGGAAUUUUUUUAAAAAAUAUAUAUAUAUAUUUUUUCCAUGGGGAAAAGACGAGUUCCCUUGAGGAAUUGUUUUUUUUUUUUAAAUAAUUUGGGAAUUGUUUUAAAAAAAAAAUUAAUGGAACUCGUCUCUUCAAGAGACGAGUUCCCUUGAGUAUUUUUUUUUUCUUUUUUUUUUUUAAUUUGGAAAUUUUUUUUUUAAAUAAUUUUUUUUCUAUGGGAACUCAUCUCUUGAUUCCCUUGAGAAAUUGUUUUUUUUUUUUUUUUUUUUAAUAAUUUGGGAAUUUUUUAAAAUAUAUAUAUAUAUAUUUCAUGGAACUCGUCUCUUGAAGAGACGAGUUCCCUUGAGGAAUUUCUUUUUUUUUUUAAUUUGAGAAUUUUUUUUUCUAUGGAAACUCGUCUAUUGAAGAGACGAGUUCCCUUGAUGAAUUGUUUUUUUUUUUUUUUUUUUGUUUAAUUUGGGAAUUCUUUUAAAAUAUAUAUAUAUAUAUUUCAUGGAACUCGUCUCUUCAAGAGACGAGUUUUCUUGAGGAAUUUUUUUUUUCUUUUUUUUUUGUUUUUUAUAAAUGGGGAAUUUAAAAAAAUAUAUAUUUUUUUUCAUGGAACUCGUCUCUUGAAGAGACGAUUUCCUUUUUGAAAUUUUUUUAAAAUCGUCUUUUGAAAAGACGAUUUCGUCUUUUGAAAUUUGAAAAGAUGAUUUUGGUAUAAAAGAAAUUUAUCUGUUCAUUCACUCUCCUCUCUCCUAAGUAGCAAAAACUACCAUAUAUUUGUAAUAACUUCUACUACUACUAUAAUUUAAGCAUAACUUUUUUAAAUUACCGUACUAUUGAAAAAAGUCUGUUCCAUCAAUAUCUAAAAGUACACUAAGACACUUAAACCCACAACUACCCAUCUCCAAAAAUUCAAUAUUCUUAAAAGAACACCAAAUGCAGUUCUCCAAGGGAUAUUGAAUGAAUCCCUAUUUCUUAAAAUAGGGUUUAUCCAUUCACAACCAAUCAUAUAGAAAUUAUCACAUUUGGAUUCAAAAUGAUCCUCACCGUUUUAAAACAUAUCUACUUGGCUGAAGAAAUUAUCACAAACACCUUCCGUAUUAACACAUUUUUGUUGUAUAACAUAGAAUUAUAGGACCUCAUAUGGGCAAACAAACCACCUCAAAACAUAUUUUUAAAAUAAUAUUUUUUUUUAUAAAAAAUAUAUUCUAACAUAUUCUUUGAAAUAAAAAACUGUUUUGAAUUUUAAAAAUUAAACGUUGUUUUCAAAAACCCAUUCCAAACAUGGCAUAAUUUUCCUUUUUAUAUAUAUUUAGUUUAUUUCUCAUUUCAUGCCUAGUGGGGCCGGGGCAAUAAAUGGAUAUGUUUUCUACUAAGGUGAGAACCAAUUUCGUGAGUGGAUAUUUAUUAAAUAUUAAGAAUGUGUUCGGUAGUAAUACAAGAAAUUGUUUAUAUAUUUUUUUAAUAUUUAAAUUUUUUUAUAUUUUAAGUAUUAAAAAUAUUUUUUAAAAUUAUUAUUAAAUAUAUUUUAAGAGUAAGUUUGAUAAUAAUUUUAGAAAGUAUUUCUAAUAUUUUUAAUGCUUAAAAGAUAAAAGAUUUUAAAUAUUAAAAAAACUAAAAACAUUUUAUAAAAUUACUAUCAAAUACGUUAUAAGUUAAAAUGUGUUUAAGAAUAAUUUUAUAAAGUAUUUAUAGUAUUUUUAAUAUUUGAAUGAUAAACAAACGACGUUUUAAUUCAGAAUUCAGAGCUACAGGGACUUUUCUUAUCAAGAAGUGUAUGCAGCAUGAAUGAAUAUCAUGGUCACUGAUGGAUCACUAUCACCUUUGCAACAAUUGACUCGGAAAAUGACCAAAACACAAUGAAGACAUAAGAUGAAUAAGAAGCCUAAUGCUACUUUAUCUAUAAAAUAAUUUUUUAUUUGCAUGUACUCUAUACAUCAUGGCGCUACCUAUUCCUAGUAGGGUUCGAAUUUGUUCAACUCAACACUUUAUAAUUCUAUCUCAAAUUUGUUGAUUUUGGACUGAGACGGAUACUCCGACCAACUACUUCAAUACUUUGUCCGCUUGAACCUAUAAAAAGGUGUGCUUGGAUGGUUUUAAACAGACCUCAAUUUUUUUUAAGAAAUCUUUUCCGAAAACCUCAAAGCUGAUUUAAACAUCGAAGAGGUCCGUCCAAAAUCAUUUAAACACACAUUUUUGUUGAUUCAAGGGAAUGAGGCAUUAGAGUGGCUUUCUGAGGGCUCGGUAGCAAUCCAAAAUCAACAAAGUUUACCUUUUAAAAACAUGAAUUUAGUAUACAGAAUAUUCUCUGAUUUUUUUUUUUUUUUAAGUAUAUUUUUAUCUUAUGGGUAAAGUCUCUUUAAGAGAAGGAUAAUGAUGUGUUUUUUAGAGUUUUGGGGUAAAAUAACCCUUUUAUGUAAAAAAAUAUAUAUAUAUAAAUUUUAGCCCAUUUACAAAACUUAUGUUCAAAUUAACCUCUUUAUUACCACAUAGGAGUCAUAUCAUAUAUUUUUUUUUUUUCAAAAUUUAAGUUGAAGUUUCAAUUGCCAACUGAGGUUUCAUUUUUUAACUAAAACCUCAAUUGACAAUUAAGGUUUCAGUUAAUUUUUUAUUUAUUUUAAAAUUUAAUUAAAAAAUUAAAUUAUAAAUUAUUAUUAAAAUUUUAAAAAAUAUUUUAAUAAUAAUAAUUUAUAUAUUUAAACUUAAAUUUCUAAUAUUACUUCAAUAAAGAUAAAUUGAUAAAUAUAAUAAUAAACAAAUAUUUUAUUUAUCAAUAAAUUAUUAAUUUUAAAAUAAUAAAGUUAUAUGAAAUCUAAAUAAGAUAUAAAAUUAUAUAAUUUAUUAAUUUAAGAUAUUUAAUUUGUUGUAUUUUUAAGAUAUUAAUUUAUUUGUAUUUUGACAAAUUUAUCUUUAUUAAAAUAAUAGUAUAUUCUUAACUUUCGUAUAUAGAUUUUAUUAUUAUUAUUUUAAAGCAUAUAUUUAUAGUUUAACGUAAAAAUAAAUAAAUAAAUAAAUAAAAACUAUUAUUUGUACACACAAUAUAUAUGGCUUGAAGAUACAUUUUGAAAUUAGUUAAUGAAAUUAAUUAGAAAAAGUCUACUACAAAAUGUAAUUUUUAGUAGUUUCAUCAUAGUCACAAAAAAUAUCCAUUAAACAUUCAUAUAAUAGAAAAAAAAUGUCUCUCCCUAAUAUUAUAUGUGAUAUAACUUAAAUUAAUAAAUUAUAUGAUUUUAUAUUUUAUUUAUAUUUCAUAUAAUUUUAUUAUUUUAAGAUUAUUAAUUAAUUGAUAAAUAAAAUAUUUAUUUAUUAUAUUUAUCAAAUUAUCUUUAUUGAAGUAAUAUUAGAUCUUUAAGUUUAAACAUAUAAAUUUUUAUUAUUAAAGUAUAUUUUUUUAAUUUCAAUAAUAAUAAUUUAAAAUUUAAUAUUUUUAAUUAAAUUUUAAAGUAAAAAUAAAAUAAAAUAACCGAAGCAAAUUGGCAUAUCUUAUUUAAAUUUCAUAUAACUUUAUUAUUUUAAGAUUAUUAAUUUAUUAAUAAAUAAAAUAUUUAUUUAUUAUUGUAUUUAUCAAUUUAUCUUUAUUGAAGUAAUAUUAGAUCUUAAAGUUUAAAUAUAUAAAUUUUUAUUAUUAAAAUAUAUAUUCUUAAUUUCAAUAAUAAUUUACAAUUUAAUUUUUUAAUUAAAUUUUAAAAUAAAAAAAAUUAACUGCAACUUCAAUUGUCAAUUGAGGCUUUAGUUAAAAAAUGAAGCAUCAGUUGACAACUGAGACUUCAGUUAAAAAAUGAAGCCUCGUUUGGCAACUGAGGCUUUAAUUAAAAAAUGAAGUCUCGAUUGGUAACUGAUGCUUUAAUUCAAAAUUGAAGCAUCAGUUGGCAACUGAGACUUCAACUUAAAUUUUGAAGAAAAAAAAUAUGACUUAACUCUUAUAUGAUAAUAAAUGGGCUAAUUUGAACAUAAGUUUUGUAAAGGAGUUAAAGCUUAAAUUUUUUUUUACAUAAAAGGGCUAUUUUGCCCCAAAACUUUGUUUUUUAGCCUAUACUCCUAUAUAUAUUCAUCUUAUUAUUAAUCAAACUUUGUACUUGAUAUUCACUUCUCAACCAUCCUUUUUUUUUCAAAAAUCUCUAACCCUUGAACUCUGCGAUCUUCAAUUCUAUAAUUUUGGUUGAUAAAGUUUUCUGAAUAAAGAAGACAAGAGGAAUAUCUAAUUUAUACUUAGAUUAUUAAUUGUAAAAUGACUCUUUUAGAGUUUAAUUAAUUAAUUAAUUACUUCUAGUUUACUAUUUUGCCCCUAAUGUAAAUUUUGGGGUGUUACAGAGUAGGUGUCAAGGUCACAUGCCUGGUGGUCAUGAGCAUGUUGGUGGCUUCGCCCAUGGCAGUCGAAGGGUUGUCCUGUCAUCAGGUAGCAACCUAUUUGGUCCCUUGCAUCUCCUACCUGAUCUGGGGUUGCUGGUCCAGUGCCCUCGGUGUGCUGCAACGGUGUUGGGAGCCUCAAAACAUCUGCCGAAACCCCAGAUGACCACAGGACCGCUUGC